rnacentral:rRNA from 1 species
AUGACGGCCUUCGGGUUGUAAACCUCUUUCAGCGCUGACGAAGCCUUCGGGUGACGGUAGGCGCAGAAGAAGCACCGGCUAACUACGUGCCAGCAGCCGCGGUAAUACGUAGGGUGCGAGCGUUGUCCGGAAUUAUUGGGCGUAAAGGGCUCGUAGGCGGCCUGUUGCGUCUGCCGUGAAAGCCCGGGGCUCAACCCCGGGUCUGCGGUGGAUACGGGCAGGCUAGAGUCCGGCAGGGGAGACUGGAAUUCCUGGUGUAGCGGUGAAAUGCGCAGAUAUGUGGAGGAACACCGGUGGCGAAGGCGGAUCUCUGGGCUUGUUCUGACGCUGAGGAGCGAAAGCGUGGGGAGCGAACAGGAUUAGAUACCCUGGUAGUCCAUGCUGUAAACGGUGGGCGCUAGGUGUGGGGCCACGUUGGUUGGUUCUGUGCCGUAGCUAACGCAUUAAGCGCCCCGCCUGGGGAGUACGGCCGCAAGGCUA